UACGAGGGGGGCAAGCGUUGUUCGGAUUUAUUGGGCGUAAAGGGUGCGUAGACGGCAUAUUAAGUCAACUGUUAAAUUCCUUGGCCUAACUGAGGAUCAGCGGUAGAAACUGAUGUGCUUGAGGAUGAGAGAGAGAAGUGGAAUUCUCGGAGUAGCGGUAAAAUGCGUAGAUCUCGAGAGGAACACCGAUGGCGAAGGCAGCUUCUUGGCUCAUUCCUGACGUUGAGGCACGAAAGCGUGGGGAGCAAACAGG
rnacentral:rRNA from 1 species